CAGACAACCGCAACCUGGACAGCAUCAGCUCAAAUUAAGUGGAGCCCGCAGAGACGCUCGCUGAGCACCCCUCGAGUGCUUGUCAAUGGAGAGAACUGAGUCUAAUGUUUAUGGAAUUUCACCUCCUCUAUUGUCAUGGAGAUAAGGCACCAUGCUACGAAUGCAGAUGCCCAGAGACAGAGCAGCCAUCACGUGGCCUUGAGGAUGACACUCCAUCCGCUACGGCGACGGAGCAGGAGGAGCCAGGGAGCCUGGGUCCUUGAGCAGCA